rnacentral:ncRNA from 2 species
AUGAGGAUGAUGGGAGAGUCCGCGGGCUGAUCCGAAAAGGGACGCCAGCUUAGCGGCACCGAAGGAGCAAGGGCCGGUCCUGCAGCCGGCAGCCGAAUCUCUCAGGUACAAGGACCAUGAUCGGACG